AUACUUACCUGGCAGGGGAGAUACCAUGAUCAUGAAGGUGGUUUUCCCAGAGUGAGGUUUAUCCAUUGCACUCCGGAUGUGAUGACCCUGCGAUUUCCCCAAAUGUGGGAAACCUCGACUGCAUAAUUUGUGGUAGUGGGGGACUGUGUUUGUGCUCUUCCCUG
rnacentral:snRNA from 1 species